GGAUGAACGUUGGCGGUGUGCCUAAUACAUGCAAGUCGAACGGUGAUCUUUUUGUAGUAAUACGAAUUGGUCAUAGUGGCGAUCGGGUGAGUAACGCGUUGGUGAUCUGCCUCGAAGUGUGGAAUAACGUUCCGAAAGGAACGCUAAUACCGCAUGUGCUCUCAGUCUUUAGAAAGUUGAGAGUAAAGGAUUUAUUCGCUUCGAGAGGAGCCUGCGUCCACAUCAGCUAGUUGUGUUAGGGGUAAUAGCCUACCAAGGCUUUGAACGGGUAGGGGACCUGAGAGGGUGGGCCCCCCACAAUGGAACUGAAACACGGUCCAUACACCUACGGGUGGCAGCAGUAGGGAAUAUUAGAAAUGGACGAAAGUCUGAUCUAGCGACACCGCGGUGUGCGAAGAAGGCCUUCGGGUUGUAAAGCACUUUUUGGAAGGAAUAGGAAGGAAGGUACUUCCAGAAUAAGUCUCGGCUAACUACGUGCCAGCAGCCGCGGUAACACGUAGGAGGCAAACGUUAUCCGGAUUUACUGGGCGUAAAGCGCGUGUAGGUGGUUUUGUAAGUAGGGCGUGAAAGCUCCCGGCUCAACUGGGAGAGGCCGUUCUAAACUGCAGAACUAGAGGAUGGUAGAGGGAGGUGGAAUUCCAGGUGUAUCGGUGGAAUGCGCAGAUAUCUGGAGGAACACCAGUGGCGAAAGCGGCCUCCUGGACCAUUCCUGACACUCAGACGCGAAAGCUAGGGUAGCAAACGGGAUUAGAGACCCCGGUAGUCCUAGCCCUAAACGAUGUAGACUAGACGUCGGUGGUGUAAUAGCUGUCGGUGUCCAAGCUAACGCGAUAAGUCUACCGCCUGGGGACUACGGCCGCAAGGUUAAAACUCAAAGGAAUUGACGGGUCCCCGCACAAGCAGCGGAGCGUGUGGUUUAAUUCGUUGCUACACGAAGAACCUUACCUGGGUUUGACAUAGCAGUGGUAGGGAAGAGAAAUCGGACCGACCCUUCGGGGAGCUGUUACAGGUGUUGCAUGGCUGUCGUCAGCUCGUGUCGUGAAAUGUUUCGGUUAAGUCCGCUAACGGAGCGCAACCCAGUGUUGUGUGUUAUAUGUGUCACACAAUACCGCCGGUAUUAAGCCGGAGAGAAGGUGCGGAGUGACGUCAAGUCGAGACAUGACCUUUAUAUCCAGGGCUACACACAGCGCCUACAAUGUGUGCAGUACAACAGGUAUGCCAAGCCGCGAGGCGGAGCCAAUCCUCUAAAGCUGUCCUCAGUUCAGAUUGCAGGCUGCAACUCGCCUGCAUGAAGUUGGAGUUGCUAGUAACCGCAGGUCAGCUAUACUGCGGUGAAUACGUUCCCGGGGAUUGUACACACCGCCCGUCAAGUCAUGGAAGCUGGCAACACCUGAAGCCGGUAUCCUAACCCGUAAGGGAGGGAGCUGUCAAAGGUGGGGUUGGUGACUGGG
rnacentral:rRNA from 1 species